GUAACUCUUGAAGCAGGCAAAACAUCCAGGCCUCUUCCAAGCUCGCUGCCUUCUCCUCCAAGCUGGCUUCCGGAAUUCUCCUACAAGAAAAAACGAGGAAGAAGUGCCACAGAAUUUGGUCUACAAUACUGAAUGCACAGUUUCUGGUGCACCGGCCCGGCUUGGCCCAGUUCAACACCCUGAGAUGAAAUGGGGUGAAAAUCCAUCCUGCAAGUUUUAGGUAGAUGCUGGCUGUUCAUGGUGUUGACUGGCAGGACCCCUAAAAUGUCAUCAAGAAGCCUUCCUACCCCUCUUGUCCUAGACCUGCUUUGCACUUAGCAAAACAUCCAUAUAUAGAUGUACAGUUAUAGUAAGAGAGAGCAACAAAUGAACGCAUAUGUCCAUUACUAUUCUUGCAACACUUUGAAAUGGGGGAAGGGCAAGACUGAGCUAGUAUUCAGUUCACUGAAAUGACAGGUAUAUGUGUUCUGAAGAUGGAAAACAGGGACAAACUGUGAGCUCUCCUUUAAUAUUAGGUUUGUCUUAACCCUUAAAAAUUGGUUAAUUUUAGGUUUCUUCAUUUAUUGUUGCAGCAAAGAUUAUUAUUUCUGUCCUAUUGCACCUUUAUUCUGCAUUAAUAUGCUUGGGGAUGGAAAAAUAAUUUGAUUUAUUGCACCUUUAUUCUGCAUUAAUAUGCUUAGGGAUGGAAAAAUAAUUUGAUUUAGUACACAUUUAAAGGCAAAUCUUUUUCC